rnacentral:rRNA from 1 species
UACGAAGGUGGCAAGCGUUGUUCGGAUUUACUGGGCGUACAGGGAGCGGAGGCGGUUGGGUAAGCCCUCCGUGAAAUCUCCGGGCCCAACCCGGAAAGUGCGGAGGGGACUGCUCGGCUAGAGGAUGGGAGAGGAGCGCGGGAUUCCCGGUGUAGCGGUGAAAUGCGUAGAGAUCGGGAGGAAGGCCGGUGGCGAAGGUGGCGCUCUGGAACAUUUUUGACGUUGAGGCUCGUAAGUGUGGGGAGCAAACAGG